GCAGACGCUGCCACGCUGGCUCACCGCGUCACCCCCGGCCGCCGUUCCUUCUCCCUUCCCUCUGCUCCGCACGGCGCCGGGGGCCUUGCCGCCGCCGCCGUCGCGGGUCUUCCCUCCUCCGCACAGCCUCCACCGCCACGCCGCUAUCCCCUGACCUCUCCAGCCAGCUAUCGCGGCGCGCAUCCCCGCCCCUUACCGCGCCGAGAACCUCCCGAGCAGCUCGCUUCUAUCCCCACAAUCUCCGGCGCUGUUGCACCCUCUCUCCGCCCGCUCGCCGCAGCCACUCUCACCCCCUCGCUCUCUGAUGCCGUCGCUUCCCUGUCUCACCCCCGCACUCGCCGCCGGAGAGCGACGCGGACUGGGCAGAUGCCGCCGUGAGGGUCACCAAGGAGGUGGGUGCAUUCGCGUGGGAUGCCACCCUGCAGAACAAGCUCUGGCUCGACUUCCCCCUCCUACCGACGAUGUUGACUCCGACGAUUUUGACAUGACUGAAGCGCAGCAGGACCACACGCUGGCCGUCAAGAGCUUGGCACCAGAGCUGGUUGAUCUGCGGAUCGAGCUCUGCCCUAGCCGCACGAGUGAGGGCUGCUUCUUGAAGAUAUACUUCGUGCUGCUGCAUCCUAUAGCUCCCGAGAAGUGAGAUUCUGUCGACUCCACUGGUGAUUUUCCGUGGCAUAUGUUCAUUGAGUUAGCCAUAGGAGCUCACUAAGUUAAUUAGCAUCCCUCCAUGAUCCAGCAAUGUGAAUCAGAUAAGUUGUUAAAUCUAGAAUGCAUUCCACAGGUUUGCUAUGUUGUAUUUGGAAUCAUGGAAGAUUGGGGUGGCAAGAAACUUAGUGCUUGUGACUGUUAA